rnacentral:tRNA from 1 species
AAGUUUAGGUUAACCCAAACUUAAAACCAAGGACCUUCAAAGCCCUAAAUAGGGGCCCAACCCCUAACUUCUG